UGUAAUUUCAAUGAGGAGGCAUAUAUGUCAACUAUGGGUGUUGGCUCCAACAAUUCUCAUUGGUCUCAAACCAAUGAGAUGCAUUUCGAUGAUCAUGAGUUUGGGGUGGAUGAAGAUGGUGAGGGCAUCGUCGUUGCACCAAAAGAAAGAGGGGGCAACUACACCAUGGACGAAGACAUCUUGCUAUGCAAUAUUUGGUUGCAAGUGUCGAGGGAUCCCUCCGUUGGAGGGGAUCAAAGUAGAGAUGCAUACUGA
rnacentral:rRNA from 1 species